UGGGGUAAAAGUCCUGUGGUCAAGUCAAAAGGAACAAGUCUUUUCCAUUAAACAGAGGAACUUGAUGGCAUGUUCAGGCAAGAAGAGGCCAAAUGAAGAGAAUCAGAUGGCAAAAUGGCAUCCAAAAGGGAAUUUUUGAUGAUGUAAGGAACUUGAGGGCUUAUAGCAGAAAAGAAGAGGUUGCAUCAUACACAAAAGAACACUUUGCAUCAUACUCCAUGAUCAGCUUUUAUAAGCAGAUGCUGUCCUGAUCAGAACCUGGAUACUGGAGCCUGUCUCCACCCUCGUCGGUGUGAUGUCCUCGCCCUCGACGAUGUGAUGUCCUCGGCCUCGACGGUGUGAUGUCCUCGCCCUCGACGUUGUGAUGUCCUCGCCCUCGACGGUGUGAUAUCCUCGCCCUCGACGGUGUU